UACGGGGGGAGCAAGCGUUGUUCGGAUUUACUGGGCGUAAAGGGCGCGUAGGCGGCCAGCGCAAGUCAGUUGUGAAAUCUCCGGGCUUAACUCGGAACGGUCAACUGAUACUGCGCGGCUAGAGUGCAGAAGGGGCAACUGGAAUUCUCGGUGUAGCGGUGAAAUGCGUAGAUAUCGAGAGGAACACCUGCGGCGAAGGCGGGUUGCUGGGCUGACACUGACGCUGAUGCGCGAAAGCGUGGGUAGCAAACGGG
rnacentral:rRNA from 1 species